CAUCUGCUUCAAAUAUGAAAGCUCUUCUUACAGAUAUUUGUAAGAAGAGCUUUCAUAUUUGAAGCAGAUG
rnacentral:sRNA from 1 species